ACACAAAUCCCAAGACCCAUUUUUCAAAUCAUUGCCUUUAUUUUAAAAUUGAUCCUAAUAUGACUUCUUGUAAUACUGGGACCCUGCCCUCCCAGGCCAAACUGCAACAUCAGCAUCACUGAUUAAAUGCUCUUAGUGUCAAAUUGGCGCAGCCCGCUCCCUCGAAUGACAUGGGUGUGGGGGAGGGGAAAUACUAGCCAAAUAACGGUCAAGGUUGUUCUGAGGUCUUCCAUGCUAACUCUUUCCUUUCCCCAUCACUAAGUAAUCUCUUCUAAUUUAAGGUGGUCUCCUCGGUUGAUAAACUCAGCUGACUUCCGUUUUUUUUCACGCCUGGCUUGAAGUCGGAAAUUAUAUUGAGUCACGACCAAGUUCUUCUUGGAGCCACCUCCCAGGGCAGUUGUAAGGAGCCCUGAUAAAGAUUUAUGUGGUUUGUUUUCUUUCCCCAAACUUUUGAAGAUCAACAGAGGAGAAUUACUUGUCUGGGUGUCCUGAACUUCGUUUCUGAGACCCAGCUGAAAACCCUGGACAGCUGGAGGGAAGCAGACACCUUGGAGAACCGAAAUAUUUGGCUGCUUUUUCCCAGAACCUAUGGUGGAACAGUUCUAAACUUGGGAGCCAGAAAGACCUGAGCUCAAAUUCCGUGCCUUCUACUUACUUCAGGUAAGGCCUUGGGCAAGUUGCUUAAUUUCUUCAAGCCUCAGGCCAUGCAUCUGUAGAAUGGGGAUCAAAGCAGCAAUAGCAGCUUUGCCAGGGUGGUGGUGACAAUGAAACCAGAGGAGGUGUUCAGAGUCCUGUAUAGAUAGGUUCUUCAUCAGAGUAUGAAUAUUGUCAUUAUUAGGUUGAAGCUGUUAUCUUUUGC
rnacentral:lncRNA from 1 species